rnacentral:ncRNA from 2 species
CAGGUUGUGCCUUCCGGCCGCCUGACACUUUCGUCUCAACCUCGCUGUCUGAUAUAGUCGUAGGUGAGCAAAGUUUCAGGUGUGCCGGAACACAUCCU